CUUUAAAAUAAUGAAAUACGGGAUGUCCAUUUAUUCAGGCCAAGUUUUAGCAUAGAUGUCUGUGUAUGGGGAGCGUCGCUUCUGAGCUAAAAUCAUGUAUGAACUCUGCAAACCCAUUGGCUUCUCUUUGUAAACUUUCCUGCAUAAAAAUGGUUUCAUUUUUAGGAAUGGCCUCUUCUUUCUCUGUUUCAUUUUCAGGUGCUCUUUGUGAUCUGUUGCCAGGUCAUCAGUUCACGAGGGUGGGAGUUUCCUUACGACGUUUAAUAAGCGAAGGACAGACUUUCUGCAAAGACACCCAUUACCCACACAUCAGCUUUCAGGAAAGUUUGCACAAUGCCAGUCUGAGAUGCCACACUGGAAAUGGUUCUCAGCAGCUUCCCAACUACAUGUAAAAGGAGAAUGAAGCUUUUAGCCAACGUAUAUUCACUUUUCUUAUUCAACAACUAGCUGGUGAUCACGUGUUAAUCCAGCUCUGUGCCUGAGCUCGUCAGGUUUUCAAUCUACAACAGUUUCAGCAGGAAAAGCUUCUCUAGUUGAGAGGAUCUUGUAGCUGGGAGCGUCUUCUCCUGCCAUUUCUCAGUGCAGAUGCUGGUGCUUUUGCCAAGGCAGCAGGUUUCACAGGAAGACAAGGCAAUGGUGAAAGACCACAUCUCACCAACUGCUUCUGUUGGAUAAGAUCACAAAGGCCUCCAGUGGAGAAUUAGCAAGACCUCAAGAGCCAGAGGCUCUUAUUUGAGGGAGAUGAUGACUUUUGGGUCAGCUGAGAGGAGAUGAGUCACUUGAAGAGUCAAGGAGAUGUGGAGACAGGGGCACAUCAAGAGACUCACCAACAUCCUUGUGCACAACACACACCUAGCACGCACACACUCACGCAUUCAAAAGGCUGGUGGCUGCUGUGGGAUGGAGCACCGCACACCUGAACUGUAGCAGAAUUUAUCCCUGGUGACCAGCCUGGAGGAGAAACCCAUGCCACAGAGAUCAUAUUUUCAGAGCUCUCUCCAUUUUUAAUGGUCUGACAGCGGGAAGACCCAUACAGAAAAAAAAAUAAAGUCCAUGUGGAUUAAGUUUACUUCUUUCA
rnacentral:lncRNA from 1 species